GAAUUUUAUAUAAUUUUAUUUAGAGGUAUUUAUUUAAAUAUUAUUGGGGAUUAAGUAAGAUUAUAUUUGAUUGGGAGGAUAGUUAAAUGAGUGUAACUUUAGUUUUUAUUUAAAUAUAAAUUAAUAAAUUUUAGAGUGGUUAUUAAAUUAAUAAAGAAUUAAUUACCUUAGGGAUAACAGCGUAAUAUUUUUGGAGAGUUCAUAUUGAUAAAAGUGUUUGC
rnacentral:rRNA from 1 species